GGUAGUUGAAAUGGCUUUCUCUCCAGAGUGGAUCCUGAGUACGGCGGAACACGUGAAAUUCCGUCGGAAUCCGGGAGGACCAUCUCCCAAGGCUAAAUACUCCCUAGUGACCGAUAGUGAACCAGUACCGUGAGGGAAAGGUGAAAAGCACCCCGGAAGGGGAGUGAAACAGUUCCUGAAACCGUGUGCCUACAAGUAGUUAGAGCCCGUUAAUGGGUGAUAGCGUGCCUUUUGUAGAAUGAACCGGCGAGUUACGAUUUGUUGCAAGGUUAAGCGGAAAAAGCGGAGCCGUAGCGAAAGCGAGUCUGAAUAGGGCGCAUAAGUAACAGGUCGUAGACCCGAAACCAGGUGAUCUACCCAUGUCCAGGAUGAAGGUAAGGUAAUACUUACUGGAGGUCCGAACCCACGCACGUUGAAAAGUGCGGGGAUGAGGUGUGGGUAGCGGAGAAAUUCCAAUCGAACUUGGAGAUAGCUGGUUCUCUCCGAAAUAGCUUUAGGGCUAGCCUCGAGGUAAAGAGUCAUGGAGGUAGAGCACUGUUUGGACUAGGGGCCCUUCUCGGGUUACCGAAUUCAGAUAAACUCCGAAUGCCAUGUACUUAUACUCGGGAGUCAGACUGCGAGUGAUAAGAUCCGUAGUCGAAAGGGAAACAGCC
rnacentral:rRNA from 1 species